AUUGAACGCUGGCGGCAGGCCUAACACAUGCAAGUCGAACGAGUGGCGGACGGGUGAGUAAUGUCUGGGAAACUGCCUGAUGGAGGGGGAUAACUACUGGAAACGGUAGCUAAUACCGCAUACCAACGGAUGUGACCAGAUGGGAUUAGCUAGUAGGUGGGGUAAAGGCGCACCUAGGCGACCGUCCCUAGCUGGUCUGAGAGGAUGACCACCCACACUGGAACGGGUACACGCACCUGGCUCCUACGGGCUGCAGCAGUGGGGAAUUGUGGACAAUGGUCGCAAGCCUGCUGCAGCCAUGCCGCGGGUAUGAAGAAGGCCUUCGGGUUGUAAAGUACUUUCAGCGGGGAGGGGUUACCCGCAGAAUAAGCGCCGUCUAACUCCGUGCCAGCCGCCGCGGUAAUUC
rnacentral:rRNA from 1 species